GACGAACGCUGGCGGCGUGCUUAACACAUGCAAGUCGAACGGAAAGGCCCUGCUUUUGUGGGGUGCUCGAGUGGCGAACGGGUGAGUAACACGUGAGUAACCUGCCCUUGACUUUGGGAUAACUUCAGGAAACUGGGGCUAAUACCGGAUAGGAGCUCCUGCUGCAUGGUGGGGGUUGGAAAGUUUCGGCGGUUGGGGAUGGACUCGCGGCUUAUCAGCUUGUUGGUGGGGUAGUGGCUUACCAAGGCUUUGACGGGUAGCCGGCCUGAGAGGGUGACCGGCCACAUUGGGACUGAGAUACGGCCCAGACUCCUACGGGACGCAGCAGUGGGGAAUAGUGCACAAUGGGCGGAAGCCUGAUGCAGCAACGCCGCGUGCGGGAUGACGGCCUUCGGGUUGUAAACCGCUUUCGCCUGUGACGAAGCGUGAGUGACGGUAAUGGGUAAAGAAGCACCGGCUAACUACGUG
rnacentral:rRNA from 1 species